rnacentral:rRNA from 1 species
CCCUUAGAUGUUCUGGGCCGCACACGCGCUACACUGAAGGAGGCAGCGUGUACUCCUGGAUCGAAAGAUUUGGGUAACCCGCGAAUCUCCUUCGUGCUAGGGAUUGAGGUUUGCAAUUAUCCUUCAUGAACGAGGAAUUCCCAGUAAGUGCAAGUCAUAAGCUUGCGCUGACUACGUCCCUGCCCUUUGUACACACCGCCCGUCGCUACUACCGAUUGAAUGAUUUAGUGAGGACUUCGGACUGGGACCGAUGCGGCUUUCGGGCUGCGUCGGUAUUCUGGAAAGAUGUCCAAACUGUAUCAUUUAGAGGAAGUAAAAGUCGUAACAA